rnacentral:rRNA from 1 species
GACAGAGGGUGCAAACGUUGUUCGGAAUUACUGGGCGUAAAGCGCGUGUAGGCGGCCCUGCAAGUCGGGUGUGAAAUCCCACGGCUCAACCGUGGAAGUGCACUCGAAACUGCAGGGCUAGAGUCCUGGAGAGGAAGGUGGAAUGCUUGGUGUAGAGGCGAAAUUCGUAGAUAUCAAGCGGAACACCGGUGGCGAAGGCGGCCUUCUGGACAGUGACUGACGCUGAGACGCGAAAGCGUGGGGAGCAAACAGG